rfam:Lupinus angustifolius cultivar Tanjil chromosome LG19, whole genome shotgun sequence.
AAACCAUGAUUGGGGCAUUUUCUGAGUAGAACCUGAAAACGCUCCUAGGCUUCAUAAAAUGCUUCAUCCAUGCCUUGCCUGAAAGUGGAUAUUUCAAAUUUGGCAU